CCUACGGGAGGCAGCAGUGAGGAAUAUUGGUCAAUGGACGAGAGUCUGAACCAGCCAAGUAGCGUGAAGGAUGACUGCCCUAUGGGUUGUAAACUUCUUUUAUAUGGGAAUAAAAUGUUCCACGUGUGGGAUUUUGUAUGUACCAUAUGAAUAAGGAUCGGCUAACUCCGUGCCAGCAGCCGCGGUAAUCCGGAGGAUCCGAGCGUUAUCCGGAUUUAUUGGGUUUAAAGGGAGCGUAGGUGGAUUGUUAAGUCAGUUGUGAAAGUUUGCGGCUCAACCGUAAAAUUGCAGUUGAAACUGGCAGUCGUGAGUACAGUAGAGGUGAGCGGAAUUCGUGGUGUAGCGGUGAAAUGCUUAGAUAUCACGAAGAACUCCGAUUGCGAAGGCAGCUCACUGGACUGCAACUGACACUGAGGCUCGAAAGUGUGGGUAUCAAACAGGAUUAGAUACCCUUGUAGUC
rnacentral:rRNA from 1 species